rnacentral:lncRNA from 1 species
CUUUGAUGGAGAAGUAUUUGGGAAAAAAAUGGAAUAUGGUCAAGGUUGCUUUGUUCUGUUUCUUGUUGAGAAAGGAAACUGAUUUUUAUAUGUCAGUGUUCAUAUGUGCUUAUAUAUGAAUAGAGACUUCUAUUUAGCAGUUUACAUGAUUUAACACAUUCAACUAAGUACCUUAAGCUAGUUGAAAAUUUUUCAAGGUUAAUUGAAUAUUCAGAUGCAUCUUGCUAAAUCUCGUCUGACAAUGUUCAGUUAUUGUUUUUACUCGUUAUAUUUGAUUGGCAUGCUAUGCUUGUUAGUUUC